AUUGAACGCUGGCGGCCGGCCUAACACAUGCAAGUCGAACGAGUGGCGGACGGGUGCGUAAUGUCUGGGAAACUGCCUGAUGGAGGGGGAUAACUCCUGGAAACGGUAGCUAAUACCGCAUACCAUCGGAGGUGCCCCGAUGGGAUUAGCUAGUGGGUGGGGUAACGGCUCUCCUCGGCGACGAUCCAUAGCUGGUCUGAGAGGAUGCCCAGCGACACUGGAACUGAGACACGGUCCGGACUCCUACGGGAGGCAGCAGUGGGGAAUAGUUCACAAUGGGCGCGAGCCUGAUGCAGCCAUGCCGCGUGUAUGAAGAAGGCCUUCGGGUUGUAAAGUACUUUCAGCGGGGAGGCGUUACCCGCAGAAGAAGCACCGGCUAACUCCGUGCCAGCAGCCGCGGUAAUUC
rnacentral:rRNA from 1 species